GAAAGCCCACCAUUCCAAUGAGAACAAGUUUGGAUCCCUGAUUGUUAUCAUAAGAAGAAAGGGAAACAUCUGUGUCUGUUGACAUACUGAUUGCAUGAAGAAUCUCUCUAGAGUGAGAAAAUCUCUCACAAUCCAGCUGAUAUCUAUGUUAAUUUUUAUCUAACAUUAUACUAUAGUCAUUUCUCAUGUUAUUAAGCAUUAUUGCAAACAUUGCUUUUAAUCCCUAUAUCAUAUUUUAUCUCAUAGGUAUAUGACAAUUUAUUUAACCAUUCCCCUUCUUGAGAUGUUUAGAGUGUUUCCACAUUUUGUUUUUGUUUUAUUAUAAAUAAAACUUAUGGACAUCUGCACAUAUAAAUCUUUUACCACAAAUAAAAUUGUUUCCCUAAGAUUCAUGUAAAAAAAUGGAGUGAGGUUUGAAGCUGUUGAGCUUGAUUGUUCCUUCUUCUUCUUUCCAGGCACUGUGGAUCCAAAUGAUUUGGAGGAGCAGGUUCUCUGAGCCAGGAUUCUAAAGUUCCUAUUCAGGAAAGAGCCACGUUGUAUGGUUACCCUACCACAAAGAUACAGAAUCUGGGCCAAAAGUUUGAUACACCAAAGAACCAGAUUAUCACAAGUGAAGUAAACCAGGCCAAUUGUCUUGUAGAUCCUCUUAGGAAUUUUUGCGAAUUAUACAUGUUAUGGGAAUUUUUAAACUUCUGUAUGCUAAAGCAAAUUAGAAUGCUUUGAUAAAGCUUAUUUUGGAUUUCUCAGUGCUUCUACUUGGUCAUAGAAUAUGGCAAGGGGUUCCAGAAAUAGAAUUAGUUGAGGAAGGAAAGAAAUUAACGUGGAAUUGAGUGACUUCUAAAAUUCUAGACACUUUACAUCUCAUUUAAACUUUUGAGGACUUUUGAGACAAGGAAUACUAUUCUAGUUACAAAUAUAUAAAAAUUGAGAUUUGGGCCUGGUGCAAUGGCUCAUGCCUGUAAUCUCAGCACUUUGGGAGGUUAAGGCAAGAGGAGGGCUUGAGCCCAGGAUUUUGAGACCAGUGUAGGCAACACAGCGAGACUCUGUCGCUACAAAAAAUUAAAAAUUUAUCUGGCUGUGGUGACACACACCUGUAAUCUCAACUAUUCAAGAGGCUGAGCUGAGAGAAUCAUUUGAGUCUGAAAAGUCGAGUCUGCAGUGAGCCAUGGAUCGU
rnacentral:lncRNA from 1 species